GCGGGGCCUGCCGGAUGAUUGGCACCGAGCACUGGGCUCCCUCAGGGCUGAGGGAAGGAGGUCCGAGCGGCUCCUGGCCUCCUCUCGCGAGCCUCGUCGUCCCCAAAGACGCAAAGUGGUGAAUCCCAUGGCGUGAUGAAUCUCUACUGUCCAAGAUCUGCUCUUCUUACACCCUACCUCCCUUCCAUUAGGUGGUGCUGUCUACAUGCUGAGUUUUACAGCCUAAAAGGCACUUCCAUCAUGGAGUCAGUUGUGCUAACGUCUGGAGGCCUCUAACAGUUCUAAUGGUCCAGCUGGAAGAAACAAAAUUGAAACACAGCUAAAGGGGCUAGAACAACAGCUCAGCAGGUAAAGGCGCUUGCCAGGCAAGCCCGGAAACUUGAGUUUCACCUCCAGGACCCACAUAAAAGUAGACGAGAGAACCAACUUCACAAAGUUGCCCUACGAUCCGAAUAUGCGCACACUGGUACAGCUCCUCCCCCACCACAAUUCGUACAAUCGUAAUAAUUAAAGAAAAAAACUAAGAGUAGGCACAGAAAUGAAUACACAGAAAGUGACUUGAGUUGUUUAGAACGAUAUGUUAUUUUUUAAGCAGAGAUCUAAGAUGAGUUUAUAGCUGGACUCUUGCCAACAGUGAGCUGUGUCAGAUGCUGGAGCUGGGGAGAAGGGGACCGAUUAUGUAGCAGAGACAUGUGCUGGGGAGGCGGAUGUUAGGGCGUAGGCAGAAUUGGGAGAGCACUUGGCUGCCU